GACGGAGGAUGCAAGCGUUAUCCGGAAUGAUUGGGCGUAAAGCGUCUGCAGGUGGCAGUUCAAGUCUGCUGUCAAAGACCGGGGCUUAACUUCGGAAAGGCAGUGGAAACUGAACAGCUAGAGUAUGGUAGGGGCAGAGGGAAUUCCUGGUGUAGCGGUGAAAUGCGUAGAGAUCAGCAGGAACACCCGUGGCGAAGGCGGCCCCCUGGGCCGUACCUGACGCUGAGGCGCGAAGGCUAGGGGAGCGAACGGG
rnacentral:rRNA from 1 species